UUUGAAAGAGUUCAUAGAACGGGGAUGAAAACAAAAACAUACCAUAGAUGAAUCUAUGCAUCCAGCCCUUUCUAUCUUCAAUCUUGAAGCCAAAGGUAUUAGGCAAACCAAAUGAACUAAGAGACGCAAACCUCAGUCUCUGUUCC